rnacentral:lncRNA from 1 species
UUUAAAUUGAAGAAAUUUAUCUUUAUGAAAAAGACAUAUCAUUUUCCGAUCUAGUCUGGUUGUUUUGAUAUCUGCCAUCUGAACUUUAAAAACAACAACAGAAAAAAAACUUACAGAUAAUUUUUUAAGAGAGGGAUCUUGGAGGCUUUGUGCAAUUAUUUUCCUAUGAAUGUUGAUCAAGCACUGUGUGAUCUUUGAGUUCAUUUUCAGUCCUGUUUUCCUGCCAUACCCAAUCAUGUUCCCAUCAUCUAGAAAUGCACGGACUUAAGCAGUGAGAGUCCCUGCCCCUCCAGGCCUUUCUGUUGCUGUAAAAUAUCAAAAGAUUUAAUAUGAACAUAGAUCAAAAAUUGUUUUCUUGUUUUGUUCCUCUAAAAUACCAGUUCCUUUUACCUCCUGAAAUCCCAGCUGAAUUAAAGUCUUCAUUAAAUUCAUGAAAGGAUACAAGAGUUACAGCCUGGCCUCUUUUAACAUCGCUCUCCUGGAAUUGAAUGGAAAGUCAGCUUCUAGUUCUGUGGAAGGCAGGUCCCAGGGGAGGUGAGCAGCUUCUAAUUUUCAGGGAGCAAAGAGGAGCAAAAUCAGCUCUAUUUAAGACCUACUGAUACGUGGGAAUUUAAGGACUUUCAUUUACAUUUUUUUAAUUUCUUCAUAUAUUUUCAGAAAUUGUAUCUUAGUGUAAUAAACAACCAAAAAGCAACAAAUAAGGAAAUUUUUAACCCCUCAUAUGCAAUAUUG